rnacentral:rRNA from 1 species
AGAGUUUGAUCCUGGCUCAGAAUGAACGCUGGCGGCAGGCCUAACACAUGCAAGUCGAACGGGCACUUCGGUGCUAGUGGCGGACGGGUGAGUAACGCGUGGGAACAUGCCCCUUUCUUCGGAAUAGCCUCGGGAAACUGGGAGUAAUACCGGAUAAGCCCUACGGGGGAAAGAUUUAUCGGGAAGGGAUUGGCCCGCGUUGGAUUAGGUAGUUGGUGGGGUAAUGGCCUACCAAGCCGACGAUCCAUAGCUGGUUUGAGAGGAUGAUCAGCCACACUGGGACUGAGACACGGCCCAGACUCCUACGGGAGGCAGCAGUGGGGAAUCUUAGACAAUGGGGGAAACCCUGAUCUAGCCAUGCCGCGUGAUCGAUGAAGGCCUUAGGGUUGUAAAGAUCUUUCAGAUGGGAAGAUAAUGACGGUACCAUCAGAAGAAGCCCCGGCUAACUCCGUGCCAGCAGCCGCGGUAAUACGGAGGGGGCUAGCGUUAUUCGGAAUUACUGGGCGUAAAGCGCACGUAGGCGGAUCGGAAAGUCAGAGGUGAAAUCCCAGGGCUCAACCUUGGAACUGCCUUUGAAACUCCUGGUCUUGAG